rfam:Oryzias latipes DNA, chromosome15, strain: Hd-rR.
GGCUCUGUGGCUUAGUUGGUUAAAGCGCCUGUAUAGUAAACAGGAGAUCCUGGGUCCAAAUCCCAGCAGUGCCU